UUACCUUAGGGUUUCCUCUGGGGUAAGUGAUUGCUUCUACACUGUGAAAAUUUGGCUGAGAGACUCAGACUGGUCAUGGGUAGACCUAUCUGGGGUUUGAUCGAUGCCACUCCUGGUUUCAGGAGCACCCUUCAUAAUAAACCUAGAAAUUCAGUAUUAUAAAGUUUAAUAAAAAACAACUUUUAACAAUGGAUCUCUUGGUUCUCGCAUCGAUGAAGAACGUAGCAAAGUGCGAUAACUAGUGUGAAUUGCAUAUUCAGUGAAUCAUCGAGUCUUUGAACGCAGCUUGCACUCUAUGGUUUUUCUAUAGAGUACGCCUGCUUCAGUAUCAUCACAAACCCACACAUAACAUUUGUUUAUGUGGUAAUGGGUCGCAUCGCUGUUUUAUUACAGUGAGCACCUAAAAUGUGUGUGAUUUUCUGUCUGGCUUGCUAGGCAGGAAUAUUACGCUGGUCUCAGGAUCUUUUUCUUUGGUUCGCCCAGGAAGUAAAGUACAAGAGUAUAAUCCAGCACUUUCAAACUAUGAU
rnacentral:rRNA from 2 species